CCUACGGGGGGCAGCAGUGAGGAAUAUUGGUCAAUGGACGAGAGUCUGAACCAGCCAAGUAGCGUGAAGGAUGACUGCCCUAUGGGUUGUAAACUUCUUUUAUAUGGGAAUAAAACGUUCCACGUGUGGGAUUUUGUAUGUACCAUAUGAAUAAGGAUCGGCUAACUCCGUGCCAGCAGCCGCGGUAAUACGGAGGAUCCGAGCGUUAUCCGGAUUUAUUGGGUUUAAAGGGAGCGUAGGUGGAUUGUUAAGUCAGUUGUGAAAGUUUGCGGCUCAACCGUAAAAUUGCAGUUGAAACUGGCAGUCUUGAGUACAGUAGAGGUGGGCGGAAUUCGUGGUGUAGCGGUGAAAUGCUUAGAUAGCACGAAGAACUCCGAUUGCGAAGGCAGUUCACUGGACUGCAACUGACACUGAGGCUCGAAAGUGUGGGUAUCAAACAGGAUUAGAUACCCCGGUAGUC
rnacentral:rRNA from 1 species